AGCUUGGGACUGGCCAGACACGACCAACUCACCACUGUAAUAAGACGACUUUUAUACAUAGCUGACAGUACGCAACCUCAGUUCAGGCGCAAGGUUAGUCUGAUGAUCUGCCUUCAUUUUGAAUCUCGAUUUUGCUGCUUCAUGCAUGUAUCAUUUGCGUCAUCGAUCAUGUGCUUUUUUUCUAAGAUCUGUCAUUCGUUUUGCACGCACAUCAUUUUCCUUUGAGUUACCUUUACAAAGAUGACGGACUUCAGCAAGCGUCUGCAUAUGCAAUUCCUUUUCUUGCCUAUCCAUCGAUUUACUCAUAGAUUUUAUUUUCUUCUUAGCUCGAUCAAAUACUUACAUGUUCGUUUUUUGUUUCUAGCCAUUGGGUUGGAAUUAGAUGAUGGAUCGCACAUAACAUACAUAGCACUCUUUUUUAGCAUACCACCUCAUGCUUAACGCAUUUCUUAUAUAUAUACACAGGUUAACUUUCCAGGUAACUCAAACCGACACAGCUUAAGAUAAAGUUGGCCUCCAUAUUAAUUGCUACUUACAUAUUAUCAUCAUCUUUUUCCCCAAAAAAUCUUACUAGAAUACUAAGACCAUUUUUACACAGCAACCACAUAAAGUUGGACCCAACAUCAACAAUGAUUUUACAAACUCUCUUGAAUCACCUCCAAAAGGUUCUUAUUAUACAUCUCCAAUAGAAUUAUCUAAAAUUAAAAUUAUGUUCGUUUCUUACAGGUUGAAACAACAACUUUUGAAGACUGGCCAUGAAUAUCUAGAUAGUACUACACCAUCUACAUAGUUUGUAAUCAAUAUAAUUUGCAUAUUAUUCUUCGCACACCUUUAUAACCAUAGCACAACAGGACAAUAGCUCAUCGACUCUUUAACAACAACUGAUGUUCACCUUUUUCUGCACAGGUAAUUGUUUUGCAUGUCUAUGACGAGCAUCGUCACUUUUGGACCACGAAUCUUUUUUGUGUACUGAAACCUUUUCAGUUCUUUAUAUGUUUAAGCUAUCUCUGGCUCUUGAAUUACCCUAGAAUCUGGUUAACCUUGUCUUUGCUCUUAUAUACUUAUUUACUCUCUAAUAUACAUAUAAUCAUCAUACAUUUACAUUAUACUAUGCUGCGCUAAACGGAUUGGCACGCGCGCAUGGGCGCGCGCUAUACACUAGUAUAUGUUUGAUAGAGAACACAUCCAAGCGUGUGAGAGCAAUUUCUAGUGUGUUGUAGUGAGAGGUUGCAUUGAUCGACACUAUAUUAUGGUCGAGUUGCAAGUUAGCGGUAUAUGUUAUGUUUGUAGGCUGCUGCCUCUUAAAUGGUUGUAACACCAAAAUAUUAUGUUGGAAUGUAUGAAAAUUCUCCAAAUGUUUUGAAUUAAAACUAUUACUACCUUUUAAGUUAAUUUUCUAAAACAAAUAGAUGAUAAUAUUAAAUCUUGGAUAGUUCAAAUUUAGGCUUGAAUUUUCAAACUGGCCUACAACUUUAGCUUAUAAGAUGGCUUGUUGUUACAGCAUACAGUUCCCGUGUAAGUUUAUGAUAAAUAACUUUAGCUUAUAAGAUGGGUUGUUAUUACAUAAAUUAAGAUAUUAGUUUAACUUAAUUUAAAUAUAAACAAUCCGAGUUGAACCGAGCUACUCUGGAAUCCUGGAUCAAAAUGAACGUGCUAGUAAGCUACUAGCUUUUAGUCAUGCCCUAAUUAAGAAGUAACAGUCAAAUCACUUCGCCCUUUCGCCUAGAGACCUACACCACUCCUCAUUUGACGAUGCACACGUGUAGGAAGAUCUGCAUCGACUAUACUGUACCGGUUAUAUCGGUUUCAGCCGGUACUGAUUUAUAUUAGAAUCGAUGUCGGUUGAUACCGAUCGAUCGAUGCUUGAUAACAUGUUAAACGAUUCGACCAGUACCAAUCCAAAUCACUUGAUAAUGACGGAUUUUAACGACGUUAUAAUUUAAUUGGUGUACAUGUACAUCGUGUCAGCUUAUAUCCGUUUUAAACCGUUUGAAAUUCAAUAAAUCCAAAAAACAUAUUAACUAAGAGAAUAUUCCUACCAUUUUCUCCACAGCCACGUGACCAGUUUCACAGACUCACAGCUCAAGGAGGUAUUUAAUUUGCCAAUUUUGCACCUCACCCAAUAACUGUCGUACAUAUAAUAUAGUCUAACAUCCAAGUUUCGAAAAGAAGGCACUAAAAUUAAUUUAGGAUGUUAUUAACCAAAAAUCAUUCUUCAACACAUUCUUAAACGAGGUAUCUAAAUAUUCCAACUUCUUAAAUAUUCAUAUUUAGUCUCUAGACUUAGGGACCUCUUGUGCACUCCUUAUAGCCUAUUUCGUACGUCAAUCAUACCGUAAAAUCAUUUACCAGCCACGAGUGAUGGACUUUGAAUAAUUGAAGCCGUGGAAAGAAUGAAUUUAAAAUUCUCGUUGGCCAAGUUUGAAGAUGACUUUUU
rnacentral:lncRNA from 7 species